rnacentral:rRNA from 1 species
CUACGGGACGCUGCAGGCGCGGAACCUUUACAAUGCACGAAAGUGUGAUAAGGGGAUCCCAAGUGUCUUGCUUUUAGCAAGGCUUUUGCCAUGUGUAAAAAGCAUGGCGAAUAAGUGGUGGGUAAGACUUGUGCCAGCCGCCGCGGUAACACCAGCGCCACAAGUGGCAACCGCUUUUAUUGGGCCUAAAGCGUCCGUAGCCGGUUCAGUAAAUUUUCUGUGAAAUCGUUGGGCUUAACUUAACGUCGUGCAGGAAAGACUACUGGACUAGGGACCGGGAGGCGUCAGAGGUAUUCCUGGGGGAGCGGUAAAAUGCUAUAAUCCCAGGAGGACCCCUUGUGGCGAAAGCGUCUGACGAGAACGGAUCCGACGGUCAGGGACGAAAGCCAGGGGAGCAAACCGGAUUAGAUACCCCCGUAGUC